CCGGGAGUCACCUGGGUUCUUAUUAAAAUGCAGAUUCUGAUUCAGCAGGCGCAGGAUGGGCCUGAGACUCUGCAUUUUUCAUAAGCUCUAGUGAUACUGAG
rnacentral:miRNA from 1 species